AUACUUACCUGGCAGGGGAGAUACCAUGGUCACGAAGGUGGUUUUCCCAGGGUUAUCCAUUGCACUCCGGAUGUGCUGACCCCUGCAAUUUCCCCAAAUGUGGGAAAGUCGACUGCAUAAUUUGUGAUAGUGGGGUACUGCAUUUGUGCUUUUCCCUG